UCAUGCCUAAACAUAGCAUAAUGCAAAAUAC
rnacentral:piRNA from 1 species